rnacentral:lncRNA from 1 species
GUGCUGGGAUUACAGGUGUAAGCCACUGUGCCCGGCUGUUAGGUGUAUUUCACCACAGUAAAAAACAAUAAAUUACAAAAAAUGGUGACAUGCCAGGGACAAUGCAGUGUGGCAACUCAUCUGGCCCUGUCUCCAGUGUACCCUGCUAUAGGAUGUCAGGCCCAGAAUCCCAGGAAGCAGGGGAGGAGAGGGAGGUACCUCUUCAUUUCAGGCCCAGGAUACAGCCCAGCUCUGCCGUGGCUGCGGACAGUGACAAUCUAUCUCUGCCUCCCAGGCCAGGAACAUGUUUUCACCGAGACCUACAAAGAGCAGUCACCGACCGUGCCCAGACACCUUGUGUAGAUCUGUGCUUAGCAAACUCAGAAGGCCCUGUCACCACCAGGAAGGAAGAGACCCCACGACUGAGGGCAGUGGGCUAUGAGAUUUGUGACCCUUUCCUCUGCCUGCCUCUGCCCCUGCCCAUUGGGACCCUGCUGGACCAGGCAUCCAUCCUAUGGAAAUCUCCAUGAAGCGUCGACCUCCCUGCCCCCCAGGCAUUGGACAGGGGCCAGGAAAUGGAAUGAAAGCAGCCACUGUCUGAAGAGCUGGAGACCAUCAUCUGCCUCUGGAAGCCCAG